CUUCCCCGCAGUCCUCCCCGGCAUAGCCUUCUAGGCAGACGCAGCCGCCCUGGCGACACUCUCCCCUGCCGCGACAGUCCCCGGGGCACGUCUGGAUGGCGCAGUCGGGGCCUCGGAAGCCCUCGACGCACACACAUUGGCCGGCGCGGCACAGCUCGCGGGGCCCGCAGCCCCCGGGGCAGGCGCCGGCGGGAGGCUCCUCCUCCCCGCAGUCCUCGCCGCCGUAGCCCGCGUGGCACACGCACACGCCCUGCACGCAGCGCCCGCGGCCCCGGCAGUCGGCCGGGCAGGUGCGGACGGCGCAGGAGGGGCCGGUGUAGCCGGGCUCACACACGCACACGCCGUUCUCGCAGCGCCCGCGCCCGCUACAGUCUCCAGGGCACCGACGGCUCCCGCAGUCCUCGCCAGCGAAGCCCGCGUCGCACACGCACACGCCGUCCACGCAGCGGCCGUGGCCGCGACAGUCGCCCGGGCAGGCGCGCGAGCCGCAGUCCCGGCCGGUGUAGCCGGGCCAGCACACGCAUCGGCCGCUUUCGCAGCGGCCCCGGCCUCGGCAGUCCCCGGGGCAGCCGCGCACGCCACAGUCCUCGCCGGCGAAGCCCGCGUGGCACACACACACGCCGUCCUCGCAGCGCCCGCGGCCCCUGCAGUCGCGCGGGCAGGCGCGGGCGCCGCAGUCGGGCCCGGAGUAGCCGGGCCAGCACACGCAGCGCCCGUCCUCGCAGCGCCCCCGCUGGCUGCAGUCGCCGGGGCAGCUGCGCACGCCGCAGUCGUCGCCGCUGUAGCCCGCGUCGCAGAUGCACUCGCCGUCCUCGCAGCGCCCGCGGCCCCGGCAGUCGCGCGGGCACGUGCGCGUGCCACAGUCCUCGCCCGCGUACCCGGGCCAGCACACGCAGCGCCCAUCCACGCAGCGGCCGCCCUCGCCGCAGUCCCACGGGCAGGCGCGCGCGCCGCAGUCCUCGCCGGAGUAGCCGGGGUCGCACACGCAGCGCCCGUCCACGCAGAGCCCCCUCUGGCUGCAGCCCCGGGGGCAGACGCGCUGGCUGCAGUCGGGGCCCGAGAAGCCGGCGCGGCACACGCACGCGCCCUGCACGCAGCGCCCGCGGCCCUGGCAGUCCCCGGGGCAGGAGGGCCAGCUGCAACUCGGGCCGGCGUAGCCGGGGAAGCACACGCAGCGCCCGCGAACGCAGCGGCCCUGGUCGUUGCAGUCGUCCGGGCAAGACCUGGGUGCGGGGGUCGGGGAGGAGGCGGGCGUCCCGGUGAGGUCGGAGCAGGUGGGCCCGCCCCAGCCUGGCUCGCAGGAGCAUGCGCAGCGGCCCAGGUCGAACACGCCGUGGAGGCUGCAGAGGCUGCGCACGUCUGUCUGGCCUGGAGCAGGAGAGAGAGGCCGCCUCAGUCUAGGGGAUGGGAGCGUCAGGAGAACAGGGACCUCUCGUCUGUGGGA
rnacentral:lncRNA from 1 species